rnacentral:lncRNA from 1 species
CGGAGCUUUCCCGGCCCUCUCCUGAUGAGAGAACCCGUCCGUGUGGGGGUGUGACUGACCACUGACCCCGGGGGCCCAAUCACUGACCCUGACCUUGGAGUGCAGUCCCCCCUCAACCUUCAUUGGAUGGAAUUCUCCCCUGAAUUUCUUGUUCCCCAAUAAAAGGCUACUCCCUGGCGUGUUCACUCUCUCUCUCUCCUGCUAGCCCUGAGUAAUCCUUGCUGCCCUGCUGGGCGGUUAGAGGUUGGAGCCAGAGAGGGGAGCCGUCUCGGACCUGGCAAUAGAAAUAAGGUAACUGAGUCUGUG